CAGCCGCCGCGGUAAUACGAAGGGGGCUAGCGUUGCUCGGAAUUACUGGGCGUAAAGGGAGCGUAGGCGGACAUUUAAGUCAGGGGUGAAAUCCCAGAGCUCAACUCUGGAACUGCCUUUGAUACUGGGUGUCUUGAGUGUGAUAGAGGUAUGUGGAACUCCGAGUGUAGAGGUGAAAUUCGUAGAUAUUCGGAAGAACACCAGUGGCGAAGGCGACAUACUGGAUCAUUACUGACGCUGAGGUACGAAAGCAUGGGGAGCAAACAGGAUUAGAUACCCCAGUAGUCCCUGUCUCUUAUAC
rnacentral:rRNA from 1 species